rnacentral:rRNA from 1 species
AGAGUUUGAUCCUGGCUCAGAUUGAACGCUGGCGGCAUGCCUUACACAUGCAAGUCGAACGGAUCCAAGGGGCUUGCUCCUUGGGUUAGUGGCGAACGGGUGAGUAAUGCAUCGGAACGUACCCAGUCGUGGGGGAUAACCAGCCGAAAGGCUGACUAAUACCGCAUACGUCCUGAGGGAGAAAGCGGGGGAUCGCAAGA